GUUUAAAUGGAUGUAGGCUUAACUGAUUAUUCCUAUAAUAAAAGAAGUUUCCAGGGAAAUAUCCCAGAGCAUUCACUUGAGUCUUCCACCCAGCAUAGGUGUCCCACAACCAGCUCUGUUUUACUCCUGGGUUACUUUGGGAAAGGGUAAUAGAACUUCUAUCACUCUUAGCCUUUAACUUCUAUAUUCCCUCUCCCCACACACAAAAAUUCAUGUUCUGCUAUUUCAGUGUUAAGACAGUCUUCAAAGAACUUUCCAAACAGGUCUAAGGAGAUAGCUUAACCCUGCUUAUUCCUUGAAUACCAAUAGAGAAGAAGCUCUAGAGGACAAAAUCCCAGUCCUUGGCACAAACUCAGGAAAUGGAAGCCGGAGUCUGUUUUUUGUGGGGCUGCUAAUUGUGCUGAUUGUCAGCCUGGCACUGGUUUUUUUCGUGAUAUUUCUAAUAGUUCAAACUGGAAACAAGAUGGAUGAUGUGUCAAGAAGACUAACAGCUGAAGGAAAAGACAUAGAUGAUCUUAAGAGAAUCAAUAACAUGAUCGUAAAGCGACUCAACCAACUCAACCAACUGGACUCUGAACAAAACUAAAGGAAUGAUUUUCUGAAA
rnacentral:sRNA from 1 species